CAGGGCUAAAUACCUGAAGAAAUCCCAGCUAAGCCAAUUUCCAAUAGAAGAAAGACGUCUACUGGAGUCUUCUGCAGCAAGGCUACCAUUCUUGAGUUCCCCUCUCAAAAGAAUCCAGCGGAAAAGGCAGAUUAUUUAUUCUGGUAUUUUCAGGAAAUGGAAGCCAGGUUGAACAGUCUAUGGAGUCUUUUGGUUUGUGCUCAAGUGCUCCAGCACCAUGUUUCUGUUCUGGAGAAAUCUGAAUUGAAGUCCUGUUACUUCGCUGCUGUGCAGACACAGACAAGGACCUGACAGCUCAUCCCAAUUGUGUGUGAACCCAGGACCAGUUCAGAAAUGCUGAAGUGGAUACACAGCUGUGGAACUGUAACUGAAAGGAAUUUCAUCAUCUCAGGCAAGCUGCCAGGAAAGAACAAGCUCCCCUCUACUGAAAAAAACACCAAGGACAGAGGAAGUUCAGUUGCUGGGAGACUGCAGCUUUGAGAGUUCCUGUGGAAAUAAACAGGAGAUAAUACUUUUGGAGCGACCAAUGUAGUAUAAUUCUUAUUUAAAAUAACUGCUCUUCAAUUGUUUCCAGCUAGAAACAUGCAAUGAUGAUCAAUGUGUUACUUCACCAAUCAUUUAAUAAACAUUCUCAACGUAAUCUUAAAUGAAUAAAUGACUACUGAAAUGGCUAGAGCAAAUGUCAUCAAUCAAUCUCAUAUACCCAAUAUGUAAGCUGUUUCAUUGGAGUGAAACAUAUGGUUGUAGUUUAAAAAGAAAAUCCUUUAUAAAACUUCUUACAAUGUUGCUUAAAUAGAAGCUAAUCUUUGACAUAAU
rnacentral:lncRNA from 7 species